UCAAGCUACUAAGAGCGCAUGAAGGAUGCCUUGGCACCGGUAGGCGAUGAAGGACGUGUAAAGCUGCGAUAAGCUGCGGGGAACUGCUAAAAGGUCUUGAUCCGCAGAAAUCCGAAUGGGGAAACCCUAUCAAGUUAAAACUUGAUAACUCACAAGUGAAUACAUAGCUUGUGUAGAGGAAAGCCUGUGAACUGAAACAUCUUAGUAACAGGACGAAGAGAAAAUAACCCAAUGAUUCCGAGAGUAGCGGCGAGCGAAAUUGGAAGAGCCUAAAUUGUGUGUACGUGAUAGCCUGCAAGCGUUGUGCACAUGAGGUUGUGGGACUUGCAUCAUAUUUUGCAGAAUAUGGAUUGAGUUAGAAAAUUAUUUAUUAGUUAAAGUCAACUGGGAAGUUGCGCCAUAGAGAGUGAUAGCCUCGUAAACGACAAUAAAUAAUCUCAAGUAAGUAUCCCGAGUAAGGCGGGGCACGUGAAACCCUGUCUGAAUCCACCGGGACCAUCCGGUAAGGCUAAAUACUAGUCAGUGACCGAUAGUGAACGAGUACAGUGAUGGAAAGGCGAAAAGAACAGUGAGAAGCUGAGUGAAAUAGACCCUGAAACCGUUAGCUUACAACCAGUCAGAGCACAAUUAAUUGUGUGAUGGCGUGCCUGUUGAAGAAUGAGCCGGCGAGUUAUUUUUUGUUGCGAGGUUAAGGAGAUUAUAUCCGGAGCCACAGGGAAACCGAGUCUGAAUAGGGCGUUAAGUAACAGGAAAUAGACCCGAACCUUGGUGAUCUAACCUUGACCAGGAUGAAGCGUGGGUAACACUACGUGGAGGUCCGAACCAACCGAUGUUGAAAAAUCGGUGGAUGAGUUGAGGUUAGGGGUGAAAUGCCAAUCGAACCAAGAGCUAGCUGGUUCUCCCCGAAAUGCGUUUAGGCACAGCGUUGGAUUUAUCUUGCAGGAGGUAGAGCACUGGUUUUGUGCGGGCGUCGAAAUGAUGUACCAAACAAUGUCAAACUCCGAAUACCUGUAAUGUCAUUAUCCAGCAGUGAGGCUAUGAGUGAUAAGAUCCAUGGCCAAGAGGGAAACAGCCCAGAACGCCAGUUAAGGUCCCUAAUAUAUGCUAAGUGGUUAAGGAGGUAGAGUUACUGAGACAACCAGGAGGUUGGCUUAGAAGCAGCCAUCCCUUGAAAGAGUGCGUAAUAGCUCACUGGUCAAGUGACUCCGCGCCGAAAAUACACCGGGACUAAAGCAUAUAACCGAAGCUGCGUCAUAUAGUUUACUAUAUGGGUAGGGGAGCGUACUGUAGUAAGACGAAGCUAGAGUGAAAACACUAGUGGAUGAGGCAGUAGUGAGAAUGUCGGCAUAAGUAGCGAAAACAUUGGUGAGAAUCCAAUGCACCGAAAACCUAAGGUUUCCCACGGCAGGCUCGUCCGCGUGGGGUUAGUCGGAUCCUAAGCUCAGGCCAAACGGCGUAGGCGAUGGACAAUAGGUUGAUAUUCCUAUACUAUCUGAUAAUCGUUAUCAGAAGCGGAGGGACGCAAGAGGAUAAGCACGCAGUCGACUGGAAGAGACUGUAUAAGCGUGUAGCUAGGUUUGACAGGAAAAUCCGUCAAAUCGUUAAUGUGAGGCGUGAUGUGGAGAGUCUACGGACUCGAAGGUGUUGACUCCAAAUUGCCAAGAAAAUCUUCGCUCUCGAGAUUAUUGGGUAUCCGUACCGUAAACCGCCACAGGUAGGUUGGUAGAAAAUACUAAGGUGCGCGAGACAACUCUCGCUAAGGAACUCGGCAAAAUCACCUCGUAACUUCGGGAGAAGAGGUACCCUGGUAGCGUGAAGCGAUUUACUCGUGAAGCGUGAUAGGGUCGCAGUGAAUAGGCCCAAGCGACUGUUUACCAAAAACACAGGUCUCUGCUAAGUCGAUCAAGACGAUGUAUAGGGGCUGACGCCUGCCCGGUGUCGGAAGGUUACGCGGAAAUGUUAGAAGCAAUUCAAAGCAUCGAAGCUAAGCCCCGAUGAACGGCGGCCGUAACUAUAACGGUCCUAAGGUAGCGAAAUUCCUUGUCAGGUA
rnacentral:rRNA from 1 species